AUUUUAAAGGAAGUUUUCGGAUGGAAUUUGAAAUGACUGAGCGGCGGACGGGUGAGUAACGCGUGGGUAACCUGCCUCAUACAGGGGGAUAACAGUUAGAAAUGACUGCUAAUACCGCAUAAGCACACAGUACCGCAUGGUACAGAGUGAAAAACUCCGGUGGUAUGAGAUGGACCCGCGUCUGAUUAGCUGGUUGGCGGGGUAACGGCCCACCAAGGCGACGAUCAGUAGCCGACCUGAGAGGGUGACCGGCCACAUUGGGACUGAGACACGGCCCAAACUCCUACGGGAGGCAGCAGUGGGGAAUAUUGCACAAUGGGGGAAACCCUGAUGCAGCAACGCCGCGUGAGUGAAGAAGUAUUUCGGUAUGUAAAGCUCUAUCAGCAGGGAAGAAAGUGACGGUACCUGACUAAGAAGCCCCGGCUAACUACGUGCCAGCAGCCGCGGUAAUACGUAGGGGGCAAGCGUUAUCCGGAUUUACUGGGUGUAAAGGGAGCGUAGACGGCACAGCAAGUCUGAAGUGAAAUCCCCGGGCUCAACCCGGGAACUGCUUUGGAAACUGUUGGGCUAGAGUGCUGGAGAGGCAAGCGGAAUUCCUAGUGUAGCGGUGAAAUGCGUAGAUAUUAGGAGGAACACCAGUGGCGAAGGCGGCUUGCUGGACAGUAACUGACGUUGAGGCUCGAAAGCGUGGGGAGCAAACAGGAUUAGAUACCCUGGUAGUCCACGCCGUAAACGAUGCAUACUAGGUGUCGGGGAGCAAAGCUUUCCGGUGCCGCCGCAAACGCAGUAAGUAUGCCACCUGG
rnacentral:rRNA from 1 species